rnacentral:rRNA from 1 species
UACAGAGGGGGCAAGCGUUAUUCGGAAUUAUUGGGCGUAAAGGGCGCGUAGGCGGCAUGGCAAGUGGAAGGUGAAAUCCCUCGGCUUAACCGAGGAACUGCCCUCCAAACUGCUUUGCUUGGGGCCGGGAGAGGCGAGUGGAAUUCCCAGUGUAGCGGUGAAAUGCGUAGAUAUUGGGAGGAACACCUGUGGCGAAAGCGGCUCACUGGACCACAACUGACGCUGAGGCGCGAAAGCUAGGGGAGCAAACAGG